UCAUCACACCCUGUCCUCGGAGGAAGUCCUGAGCCGCUCCCCCUUUCCCGUUCCUGAGAGUGAGCACACUGAGACGGCCACAGGUGCAAGAUCUAUUAGCCUUAGUCUGGAAUAGGAAACGACCUUAAUCUAUCCUGGUAUUGGCACGGCUUCUCCCUUUGAUCCCAGUGGAAAAUGGGAUAUCAGACCUCUUCUGAAGGAACGGGGGAUUGACUGGUCAUCUGCCAUUACCAAGAGUACCCACUAGAUGUCCCCACUGCUGCACAGAAGUGCAGUGGCAAGGCUACACACUCAGGUGCAGUACUGGACACGUGGAUGCAGUGUUAGAGAGUCUGCAUCUUGAAGUCAAUGAGCUUCUAAUACCAGCCAGUCUCCAGCCACCGUUAAUCAUAAUCAGCUCAAUCCCAUUCCGAGAGUGUAGCAGCCCUGCUCUGCCACUGAAGA